rnacentral:lncRNA from 1 species
ACAUUACAAGGUCGGCAAUCCACAACUCCCGCAAAGUUACAGGUUUCCCAAUUGUUGCUCAACCCUCAUCACGUAGGCCUAGCAACAUUCUGUUACCCAGUCCCUCAAAGCAACAGGCUGCCUAGCAAUUUCUGGAAUGACAACAUAACAUCCCAUAUCACACUUGCAGGCUCUUCCUGUGAGCAUAAAGCUGGCUACCUCAUGAGAAUCACCUUAUGCUGCACUUCCCAGAGAGUUCCUUAGGACACCAGAACUGAAGUCAACGGGAAUUUUGGAGGUGUGAAGAGCUACUCAGAAGAAGCAAGGAUUUUCCAGUCUCCUGUAUGGUAACUGUUGAGUCACGACCUGAACCACUGAUUGAGCACCUGGGGAAAGGACCUGGUCAGCCCUGAGAGCACAGGUGAAGGCAAAGGCAAAGGAGUGGAGCUUGGCUGCUCUUCUCUUAGACCUCAUUUAACAGCUGACUGCCACUAAGGAAGGAUCUCUUUCUGGAGGUUCCUCCUUUGCGUUUUCUCCUGGGAACCUGGAUCUUUGGAGAUGGGUGAGCAGUCCUUUCUCCUUUCUUUAUAACGCCUUUCUGUAGCCUUGGUCCCUCUGUCAUCGCACCUCUUGUAUCACCUUUCCAUUGUGUUGGUUUUUCUGACUGUUACAUCUGCUAGCAAAGUAGUUGAGCCUUACUGACUUUACACUGCCUGAAUUAAGUCACUUGUAACAUUUCAGAUCAGGUGAGAAAGGCAGCUUCUGACAGGAAAAAUCUUGGGAAUUCAUGAGACUCAACUAGUUUCAGAAUCUAAAUUUACACCAUGACCAGUCUCAGUGCUGAGCAAGUCAAGAUUUUGGAAUAUUUCCAGAGUAUCUGCAUAUGGGCAUACAGUUAUGUGCAGUCAGGUUUUGACAACACUAGGUUGAUAGUUAAGUUUCUGUAAUCGUUGAGUGUUAUUGACUAUAAGUUGCCUCAUUUUACCUCAUGGUAAAAUAUACUACUACAUGCCUUAGCUAAACAGUUUUAGGAGGUCCAUUUUUCACCUGGGACAUGCCAGGAGUACACGGGCAUGGGCUAAGCUGAUGAACACUAAUAACUCAAAACCAUUGCCAUUAUAACUCAGAAAUGUUAAAUACUGUUUGCACCUUUUUUUUGAUCUUGCAACACCAAAGCAUUAUUCAGAUUGAUUCUCUCAGCCUCAGCUUAUCUCCACCUCUAGCUUCCUCUUUUUCAAGCUCAGAAACUGUUAAAAAAAAAAAAAAAAAACAAUGUGAAGAAACACAUUUUCUCAGAGGGAGGCACAUGAAGCAAAGAAGGCUUUAAUCACUACUGCUUUGCCUUUUUCAGAUGGGAGUUAUUUCAUUUAUACAUGCCCAUAGAGGUGAAUGUUGCUGUGGGUGAUGUAACGUGUGAGCCCUGAUUAUGGCUCUCCACCCACCGACUGUACAGCAGCACUCACCUUGUUCUUAGCUAUUCUUAUGCUACAGGGGGCUCUCUACCUUUGUAAGUUGAUUUAAAAAAAGAUUAUGGAAGGAGAACAAAGAGUCUUGAGAAAAUCUCUUCUUGCUUUCUUGUGUUUCAAAGAUACACAAUUUGUCUUGGAAAUAAAAUGUAAGUGUCACUACUCCUUGUAGUGCUUCUCCCCUUUUUCCCUGAAGAGGGGAAGUAGUAGAAACUAAAACUAUAUAAUCUUGACUGUAGUUUAAAAUAGCUAGUAUAAUUAGUCCAAACUAUCACUGCAAGAAAGCACAUACAUCAGUGAAAUAACAUCUGCCAUUCAGUGCCUAAGCUUAAACAUGAUCUGUGCAUCAAAAAACUCUUCAAGUAAUUUCAGCGCAGUUUAAUAUCACUAACACUGAAGUAUGCAAACAAAAGCAGACUAGUUCCAAAACAACAGCAGCAAUAAUAUUCCUACUGUUGUUACUUAGUAUCUAUGGACUUUGUACAGAUUUUUUAGAAAUCAAGCCUCUUGUAGACCCAACAUCAGUAAGACUCAUACUAUGGUUUAAUGUUAUACAUACUGUACAUUACAUCAGUUUAAUUUCACAUGUACUAAAAACACUGUGUGAAGAUUGAGAUUUUGCUGUAUUUUUAGGAUGAUUUUAAUAUUUGCUGCUCGCAGAACUAUUAAUUAAUUUUAAAAGCAUUUCAACUUGGACAUCUGAAAACUGAGUUACCAUGCAAACUAUGUCAUAUCAUGGCACUUUAAAGCAGCAGUGCAAUGUCUGAGACCCCAGGUGCUCCAGCCUCAUUUCACAGUGAUAAGGUACAUGGAACAGUGGCCACCCUUUGUUUUAUGCUUUCACGUUACCAUGGUGGAAUCUAGAGGUGCUACAGCAGCAUGGUCUGCCAGGCAGACUGUGGUAACUUUAUUGCUUUCUUGCCAACAAAUACUGCAUGCUGAUAUCCUUCAGGUCAUUUGAGAAUGGAACAAGUUAAAAUAUGACCUCUUCAUGCUUCCAGUCCUUUCCUGGGUUGUUUUGGUGUAGCUGUAGAACGUUACAAAUUGGGGACCGCGGUUUUGUGACACAAGGAAAAGAGAAUUAGUUCUUCUGCUUAAUUUUAUUUUAAGGGAAGGUGGGAGAAGUAUCGAUCAGAUUACUGCCACUGACAAAAGGCAGAAGGCCAGUCACCUCAUGGGUGUGUAUAACUAUGGGGGAUUCGCUUGCAACCCUCUAUGGAUACCUGCAUCCUCUGCUCCCUUUUCUUCUCUGAAGCACUUGUAUACCAAUGCACACAGCAUGAGGAAUGAACAGGAGGAGCUAGAGAUCUGUGUGCAAUUACAAGGCCAUAACCUCAAAUCCGUCUUGUCUAUGCAACGUUUGUAGUGGUGCUUGGCACAUACUGGCCCCUAGACUGGACCUGAGGAUUGUACCAUGUUUAUUUAGCUAUGUCACUGUAGUCACAGGAAUUGUGCUGAGUUGUUGCUCCAUUAGCAUAGUCUACUUCCAGAACUGCAAAACCUAUCUUAGCACCUCCCGGACCUCUUUUUCUACAGAGAAGUCACACAGGGGUUAGUGCACUAAGGGGCUUAUGCCUAUGGUGCACUAGCUCCUGGUGGGUCUGUGUUCCACUGUAUUUGCCACUGGCUGGCUGCUAGUCUGCAGCUGCUUUGGAUAGUUCUUAAUUUAUAAUACCAUUCAAUGAUACCGUCCACAUAAAAUCCACAUCACUUAAGUAAUACAUAUUUGGAAUAAUUGCCUUUUUCUCAAAAGGGCUAUUUCCCUAGGGCUGUGUUAUCUCAGUGAAGCAGCAUGUUUCAUGCCUAAACUCUACUGUUUCAGUGCAAUUGUAGUACCAUCUUUAAAUGUAGUUUCCAAAUCUACGUGCUCAUCAGGCCUAUCCUGGCACAAAGCUUUACUAUGAGUCAGCUCCUCUGCUCUCCAGUAGUUACCUGUAUUCACUCACAGUCUUCUUCUGUCUUAUCAAGAGAAGUUGCUUUUACUGCCCUUCUGCCUCUUGUACUCUCUGCUGCUGAUUACUUUAAAAAAGGUGUACUUCAUACUUCCUGUCAACAUCAAUAACACAUUUUUGAACAAGACAUUCAAUUCAACCAGAACAGAGAUUGUAUAAAUUCCUGUGACCUUUCAAUGCUUCAGUAAAAUUAAACAUCAAUAAUAGAUGUUUUGUGAUUCUGAUGAGAUGACACAUUUCUGAUUCAGCAAUAUUCAAAGAUUUUCUGUACUGGGAUAAGGACUGUCAGCUCCUGACAUUCCCACUGGUCAGUGGGAAUUACUGAAGCAGUCUCAUACCAGGUUCUGCCAAUGAGUUUUGCUUUAUGGCAUCUGACAUCUGCAGGAGUGCUAACAAAACCUAUAUUUCUCAAACAUAAACAUUUACAGGAUCUCUGCUUUUAGAAGGUAUGUUUAAGUUGUCAUGACAUCCAAAGAACUAGUAGUUUGCCAGAUUUGGUUAUUCUCAUUUUAUUUUUCUCAUAAGGAUAUUUAUAUUCUCAAAUCUCAAUUUUAAUGUCAGGGAACAAAGAGAAAAAACAGGGAAUUCCCUUCUGAGUACACCUGAAUUUCUAAUAGCAGAAUCUUGGUAGUUUUUCACACUCACUGUACCUCCAACUGGCUCAAGAACUUCGAAUGCCUCCAUAUGGUGGAAAAAAUUACACCCCAGCUGUGCUCUUGUGUUCAAAUUUCUGUUAAAACUCAAAAUGUGAGGCUCAUGCCACCCUAUUAUCAAAGCUCAAAAGGCAAACACUCCUUCCCAUGCUAUUUAAAAUAAUACCAGAAUUUAAGUGUGAUUGAUUUAGAACUCUUUUGUAAAUCAGUGAUCUAUGUUAAAGAACUGGUUUUCUGUUGAUUCUGGGUUUGAGCAAAAUCAAGAUUAAAAAAGAUAUGAUAAAAUACUUUACAAUUUACCAUAAUUUAGGAAUAUUUUAACAAGAUCUUUACUGUGCAGUUAUUCCCUAUUAUUCUGUAUUCUAGACCUUAUAUUCAUUUGUACACUAAAGGAACGAUGUAUUCAGAAUUGUUGAUGUUUUAAAGUAUUAGUUCUUUGCUUACAUUCUUGCUAGUUGUUUGGGAUUCCUACUGUUGUUUAUUGGUAGGAAUUUCAUUUUAUCUCAUGCUUUAUUUUUGCUGUUUUCUUUUCCAAAAUGAUCUUAGAGACAAAGCCUGUUAUAUUGCUGUUCAUGUCUGUAACAGUUAAGUAAAUAUAUAUAGUAACCACAUGAUGGAGAGAAUUGUCUUUGUCUUAAGCAUUUGAAACUGUCUGUAAAUGACAUACAUUUUAAAAGAUGAAGGUGACCUGCUGUAUUGCUUACUUCCAGGAAACAAAAGUUUCGGGUAAUUUUUUUUCAUUUUCAGUGGGCAUCUUCUCUUUGUUUUCAUAGUGAAAGUUAAAUGAAGCUAGUAAACAGAGUUUUGAGAAUUUCUCAAACCAGAAAAACAUUCUUUAGCUAUCUUUGAGUCAAAGGCUUGAGAGUAACCAAAAAAUGAGAUGCAGACAUUAUUAGGCAGAUUAUAAUUAGGCUCGCAUGAAUGCAGAAGGAGAGUUAUCUGUUUGAUCCCAUGCAUCCUCUCUGCAGCUGUAUAAAGGAUGGUUACUAUCUCUGUCCCUGCACUCCUAAAGUGGGAAAGAGACUAUGGCCAGCAGUGUUUCCUGCCCAAAUAGAUGGAGUGGACUACAACUCUGUCCUAAUUAAGGCCAGCUGUCACAUUCUACCUGUCACAUGCUCCUAUUUUUUUGAAGUGUGUGGGAGUUGCCAGUUCACCCUUCCCGGAUACACAGAGCAUAUAUGACAUCCCUCAUUGAUGGUCUGUGCCUAAGCUGGAGAACACUGUGCAUUAAAUUCCCAGCAAAUACAUCAGUUUUUCACCAGCCAGUGUCAUAGCUUACUGAACAAGCUUUUAGUAAAGAUACUUAUUUUCAGGCUUGUAUUAAUGCCCACUGAACAAAGUCAAUAGAAAUCAUUGCAUCUCUAGAAGUACCACUCAUUGCAAUAGUAUCAUAAAAAUGAAUCAUCUGCAAGCUGCCUGCGCUUACAGCUGUCUUGCUUAAGUUAUUGGAUGGCACGUUGCCUGCUCAUGUGGUGUUUAGACAUAGUAGAGGGAAUAGGUGUCAGAAAAGAUGAUUUUACUGGGGUAAUUUAAAUAGAACAACAACUGUUAGCUUGUUAGCAAUAAUUUCCCUUUUGGUGACUGAACAAGAAAGUGUUAUUCCCCCAUGAAGCUUUCCAGCCUGCUGGCACGUUCUCCCUGCUCCAGCAUCAGGAAGUUGCAGUGAGUCAGGCUCCAAAAUCGUUCAUGGCUGAGGGCUAUUCUUGCCAGGGAUACCAGCACAUCAAGGAGACAUUUUUCAUCUUACUCAAAGUGUAGUUCUUGCUUGGAUAUCAAAGACCAGGAAAGUACAGAAUAGGAGAUAUUUCCUAGCCAGUGGUGUGUCGUCAUUUCUUCCUUUGUCUCUUUCUGGAUCUAAUUCUCUUUUCAACUGGACUAAGUGUUGUGAAUUUUUUUUUAAACUUCUUGCAUCUUUUGUAAAAACCUCCUCAAAGAAGAUUUCUGAAAAAAAGCAAGCAAAGCCAUGGCCUCUCUUUUUCAGUACUCUGAAUUUUUAUGGAGGAGACACUGACUCCUUUCUCUCAGGUGGGUCAAUUAAUCGCAGGAAUUUGAGUUUAAUUAGCCUCCUCUGCCUGAUUAUUUUUUUUACUUUCCAAAAAAGUUAUAAGUGUAAUUGAAAACAUGAAAAUAAACAGCUCUCACUCAGUUUCUUAUUGUAAUGCAACACAGAACAAACCACUUCUCUACUCCCACUCAAUAUUCAAAGAACAGAGCAUCUCAGAGCACCUGCCACCUUGCAGUAUAGUGCCAUAUGUGAUUAUCCAACAGAUUUAUGUAGAGAUAUUAAAAGCAAACUUAAUGGAGAGAAGAAUGUUUCCUCCUACUGUGGGUUCUGCUUAGCUACCAAAUAAAUGUAUUUGGGUAUAUCCAUGUCCCUUUUGUUGUCUUGUUUAAACUCAAGAUGAAAAAAAACAAGUUAUGUCAGAAAAAG